rnacentral:rRNA from 1 species
UACGGGGGGGGGCAAGCGUUGUUCGGAAUUACUGGGCGUAAAGGGCUCGUAGGUGGCCAACUAAGUCAGACGUGAAAUCCCUCGGCUUAACCGGGGAACUGCGUCUGAUACUGGAUGGCUUGAGUUUGGGAGAGGGAUGCGGAAUUCCAGGUGUAGCGGUGAAAUGCGUAGAUAUCUGGAGGAACACCGGUGGCGAAGGCGGCAUCCUGGACCAACACUGACGCUGAGGAGCGAAAGCGUGGGGAGGGAACAGG